rfam:Salmo salar isolate Sally breed double haploid chromosome ssa18, whole genome shotgun sequence.
GACUGCACUAACUGUAAGUCGCUCUGGAUAAGAGCAUCUGCUAAAUGACUCAAA